CUUAUAAGGUGGCAGAAAGCACCGUUAAACUAAUGACUCAAAUAUAAAACCGUCAAAAUGCAGCGCCAAGCCGCCUCGGCAGCAACCCAUGAUUCACCUGCAUCGACACAGUGAAUAUCUUGCGAUACACAGCGCUAUCACCCGUCUGUAUCCUAUGGGUAACCUGCGUGGACACUUUGAUGUUCAUUUACAAGGUUGCAUUUGAAUGCUGCAUGUCAUCAUCAAGUCCUUUAUUCCAGACAGCAAGUUGUGACCCAGGAUCCUGGAAUGUCAACGCCUAGAUGGAGGCCAUGGUGCCGGCCUAAUUAUAAACAGGGGGAGGAGGGGGACUCUAUCACUGUGACGGGUGGAAAUCUGGAAGACAGAUUGUCUGAAGUUGCUGAAGUGUGUCACUGCUACAAACAGAGCCAAGAUGGAGGAGCAGGCUAGGAGAAAAGGCUCUACCAGGGUCGUGUUCAAUAGGGCACACCAUAGAACACACCGUUGCGAAACGUUUUGGGAACAGAAAACUCAAAUGUGUGUUUCUUAUUGGAAGAGUUCAGGAGCUUUCACUUCAAGCCAUUUUCUUCCUACUGCACAACACCCAUGGCAAGACUGUGUAAAAACAAAGAUAGAGUCCACUUUUUUCAUCAGUUAAUUAAAGGUUAAUAAAAGCU